rnacentral:tRNA from 1 species
GUAUGUCGCUCAGCGGUAGAGCGCUUGCCCAGCAUGUGCAAGGCCCUGGGUUCGAUCCUCAGCACCACA